ACGCUCGACACCUACGGGAGGCAGCAGUUAGGAAUAUUGGGCAAUGGAGGAAACUCUGACCCAGCAACGCCGCGUGAAGGAAGAAGGUUUUCGGAUUGUAAACUUCUGAUCUAGGGGAAGAAGGAAGUGACGGUACCCUAGGAGAAAGCCACGGCUAACUACGUGCUAGCAGCCCGCGGUAAUCUGAGCGGGCUGGCAAGGC
rnacentral:rRNA from 1 species